rfam:Gasterosteus aculeatus cont1.012161, whole genome shotgun sequence.
AAGUGUAAUUAAUGUAAGUCGCUUUGGAUAAAAGCGUCUGCUAAAUGUAAUGUA